AAGACAACGCGCUAGCGGAGCUAGUAUACUAUGUGUCUAUGGUCGGCACGUUUGGUAGCAUCUCUGGCUGCUGUUGACCUUGUUUUUGGAGUAAAACACGGUGGAAGCUGAAUUAGUGAGGAAGACUCCUGCUCCUGUCAUCUCUAAGCUCCUCACACAUCUUUACCUGCACAUGAGGAAAAUCACUCCUGUAGAAUGCAGAUGUUCAGAGGGAGAUGAUGCCACAUCUGGUCCAGCUGAUGGAAGGUCUUGAAGUUCUCUGACUGGCCUCGACUGAAGAUGGUCGUCUCACUGGAUUUAAGAGAUGCACAAUGAGGGACGUCUGCAGAGACUGAGAAAGAGUCUCACCACAUCCUGACAUGAGGAAAAAGACUUUAUUGAAGACUACAAUGAGAAAAACUAUCAGACAGCAGACGGCUGCAUUCAAGGUGAGCUCUGAACAUUUGAUCUGGAACAGGAAUUCAAUAACGGCAGCAUGAGCUUCAUUUCAGUCUGUAGCUGCUGAAUUCAUGGAUGAAUCAUCUGGCACUAGAGAAGAAGACCAUCAAACAUCCAUGUCAGCUGAUGGAGGUCCAAGAGUCUCACCCAACAAACAACCUACAGAGUGAAGACCUCAGCUCUGAUUGGACGGCCUCCUAUUCAGCCACAUUUUAGGCUGUUAGAUUGUUCCAGAUAAGACAAGUACAAGAUUCUUCAGAGCCGUUCUACCACGAGCCUGACAGGAAGAACUCCAACAGCUACUGAAUGUUCCUGUGGUUCCCUCAAGGCUACAGGAGGAGCCCUACGAGGACGAGCCGGUCCACCUGAUGGUGGCCAGUCGCUGCGGUUCAAAGCCAACACCGACUACAUGGACUUCUACUGGACCACAUGGAGGCCUUCAAACCGGACCAACAAGUUCACCGACUCCCCGACUCGUGGGUCUGAGGAUGCCGUCGAACCUCGGCC